rnacentral:rRNA from 1 species
UACGUAGGGACCAAGCGUUGUUCGGAUUUACUGGGCGUAAAGGGCGCGUAGGCAGCGAAUCAAGUCAGCUGUGAAAUCUCCGAGCUUAACUCGGAACGGUCAGCUGAUACUGUUUUGCUAGAGUGCAGAAAGGGCAACCGGAAUUCUUGGUGUAGCGGUGAAAUGCGUAGAUAUCAAGAGGAACACCUGAGGCGAAGGCGGGUUGCUAGGCUGACACUGACGCUGAAGCGCGAAAGCUAGGGUAGCAAACGGG